GGUAGUCUCAGUGGAAGCUGCUGCUUUUUAGCUGCAAUUUUUGGCCCUAAGGCCAUUAGAUCUUCCAAUAACAGGGAACAAAUAUGGUGUGUUUAGUGAUGACAAUGUUCUGCAUCAUGUGGGACAUUGCGAACAAUGUGGCUAGCUUCUUUAAAGUUCCAAAAUGCUACCGAAGCCAAGGCCAGAAGCUGGACGCCCCCCUCCCCCAUGCAGCAUGCAGGCUCAGAAACCUGUUGGAAAAAAGAGGGUGUUCCCAUCUCAACUUUGGAAAAACUUUCAACAAGGACAAGUUGCAAGUCAUCAAUCAUAAUUACAACAAAUUAUGGCAACAUUGUAACUUUUAAUUAAUGGUUUAAGAAGGAUAAUUAGUAGUGUGCAGUAUUGUAUGAGUAAAAGGACAAGUAAGUAAAGUGUAGUAACGAAAUGGUUCAUUUUUUCAAUCUUUUGUAAGGAAUGGGUAAUAGAGGAAAACACAACAAAACUUGUAUGAAACAUAUUGAUGAUAAUAAAUAUGAUUGGAGUGUAUUUACA